rnacentral:rRNA from 1 species
GUCCAUGGCCAUGUUAUCCUGAACAAGUCCGAUCCUGUCUGAUCUCGGAAGGUAAGCAGGGUCCGGCCUGGUUAGUACUUGGAUGGGAGACCACCUAGGAAGACCAGGUGCUGUAGGUG